GACGAACGCUGGCGGCGUGCUUAACACAUGCAAGUCGAACGAAGAGCGAUGGAAGCUUGCUUCUAUCAAUCUUAGUGGCGAACGGGUGAGUAACGCGUAAUCAACCUGCCCUUCAGAGGGGGACAACAGUUGGAAACGACUGCUAAUACCGCAUACGAUCUAAUCUCGGCAUCGAGGAUAGAUGAAAGGUGGCCUCUACAUGUAAGCUAUCACUGAAGGAGGGGAUUGCGUCUGAUUAGCUAGUUGGAGGGGUAACGGCCCACCAAGGCGAUGAUCAGUAGCCGGUCUGAGAGGAUGAACGGCCACAUUUGGACUGAGACACGGCCCAGACUCCUACGGGAGGCAGCAGUGGGGAAUCUUCCGCAAUGGACGAAAGUCUGACGGAGCAACGCCGCGUGAGCGAUGACGGCCUUCGGGUUGUAAAGCUCUGUUAAUCGGGACGAAAGGCCUUCUUGCGAAUAGUGAGAAGGAUUGACGGUACCGGAAGAGAAAGCCACGGCUAACUACGUG
rnacentral:rRNA from 1 species